GUGAGGAUAAAGGAAUGUGUCAGAGAA
rnacentral:piRNA from 1 species